rnacentral:snRNA from 1 species
CUAGCUUCUCGGCUCUCUGAGCUAAGAUCAUGUGUAGUAUCUGUUCUUUGCAGUGUAAUUUCUGCAACGGUCUCUAAACUGAGACCAAUGAAAUCACCUGUAUUUUUCACCUCCGGACGGGUGCUGUGAGCUUGCUCAAGCCCGUCCACGGGUCGGCCUCGUAUUGCAUUACGGUAAAAGGUACGUCUACCUUAA